rnacentral:rRNA from 1 species
AUUGAACGCUGGCGGCAGGCCUAACACAUGCAAGUCGAGCGGAAACGAGUUAACUGAACCUUCGGGGAACGUUAACGGCGUCGAGCGGCGGACGGGUGAGUAAUGCCUGGGAAAUUGCCCUGAUGUGGGGGAUAACCAUUGGAAACGAUGGCUAAUACCGCAUAAUAGCUUCGGCUCAAAGAGGGGGACCUUCGGGCCUCUCGCGUCAGGAUAUGCCCAGGUGGGAUUAGCUAGUUGGUGAGGUAAUGGCUCACCAAGGCGACGAUCCCUAGCUGGUCUGAGAGGAUGAUCAGCCACACUGGAACUGAGACACGGUCCAGACUCCUACGGGAGGCAGCAGUGGGGAAUAUUGCACAAUGGGCGAAAGCCUGAUGCAGCCAUGCCGCGUGUAUGAAGAAGGCCUUCGGGUUGUAAAGUACUUUCAGUUGUGAGGAAGGGGGUAGUGUUAAUAGCGCUAUCUCUUGACGUUAGCAACAGAAGAAGCACCGGCUAACUCCGUGCCAGCAGCCGCGGUAAUACGGAGGGUGCGAGCGUUAAUCGGAAUUACUGGGCGUAAAGCGCAUGCAGGUGGUUCAUUAAGUCAGAUGUGAAAGCCCGGGGCUCAACCUCGGAACUGCAUUUGAAACUGGUGAACUAGAGUACUGUAGAGGGGGGUAGAAUUUCAGGUGUAGCGGUGAAAUGCGUAGAGAUCUGAAGGAAUACCAGCGGCGAAGGCGGCCCCCUGGA